AGUGAACGCUGGCGGCGUGCCUAAUACAUGCAAGUCGAACGGAGUGGCGCACGGGUGAGUAAUAUAUAGCUAAUCUGCCCCUUGCUGGAGGACAACAGUUAGAAAUGUCUGCUAAUACUCCAUAGCAAGGGAUGAGACUAUAUCGUAUCAGCUAGUCGGUGGGGUAACGGCCUACCGAGGCUAUGACGAGUAACUGGUCUGAGAGGAUGAUCACUCACAUUGGACCUGAGACACCGUCCGAACUCCUACGAGAGGCAGCAGUAGGGAAUAUUGCGCAAUGGGCGUAACCCUGACGCAUCAACGGCGCGUGGAGCAUGACACUUUUCGGGGCGUAAACUCCUUUUGUUAGGGAGGCGUUACCUAACGAAUAAGCACCGGCUAACUCCGUGCCAGCAGCCGCGGUAAUAC
rnacentral:rRNA from 1 species